UAAUUAAAAGUGAAGGGGAAGAGUUGCCUGUUGAUAAAUCUGCACUCUACAAUGCUGUUCUGCAGGGCUCUUGUCUCACAAACAUCAUGGAAGAAAUACUAAAGUUUAAUACACAAGAUAUUACACACAUGCAAUUGAUGGAAAGUGGCUUUGGUUGUUUUAACUGUAACUACAUUACUCCAAGUUUACCUGAGAAAUCAAAUCCCAGCAUCACAGACAUGGAUGCUGUGCAGAUAGAUGAGUGCACACCUAGAACAAUAGGUAA